CAAGGAUGGUCUAUUUCAUUUGGAGUUCAAGGCCCAUGAGAUAGAUACGUUUUAACUGUGCUGUUCCCCGGUACAGUUUUUGUUUGUCUGUUCUGUUCUGUUUUGGAUGGAGAUGGAGAAUAAAAAACAUCAUAUCCCUGGGUGGAGGGACCAUGACCCAGUGGCUGGAUCACAGAAAAACACGAACCUAAACUCUCUGAAAAAUUCAGCCAGCUUAAAAAAACCCACCCUCACGUCUGACUGAUAUCAGCCAUCUACUUAAAUGAAGAUUUUCAGAUUUUCUACACCCUUGCCUAAAUUAUAAAAUAGGAGUGAUGGAAGACUCCCACUGGGAACAAACAGAAUCAACACAAGACCUGGCACCACAGUGCUCUGAUCCCAGAGGAGAGGCAGGUAGAGAGCUGGGAGAGAAA
rnacentral:lncRNA from 1 species